AGUCGAACGAGAAAUCGGGCACUCAGGCAACUGAGUGCCGGAGAGUAAAGUGGCGCACGGGUGAGUAACACGUGGGUAACCUACCCCCGAAUCCGGGAUAACCUCGCGAAAGCGUUGCUAAUACCGGAUAUUGUCCUUUUGGUUGUGACCUUUGGGAUGAAAGGCAACCUCUUCAUGAAAGUUGUCGUUCAGGGAUGGGCCCGCGUACCAUUAGCUUGUUGGUGGGGUAACGGCUCACCAAGGCUAGGAUGGUUAGCUGGUCUGAGAGGAUGAUCAGCCACACUGGAACUGAAACACGGUCCAGACUCCUACGGGAGGCAGCAGUGAGGAAUUUUGCGCAAUGGGGGAAACCCUGACGCAGCAACGCCGCGUGAGUGAAGAAGGCUUUCGGGUCGUAAAGCUCUGUCAAGUGGGAAAAAAGUCUGAUGAUUAAUAGUUGUCAGAUCUGAUGGUACCACUGGAGGAAGCACCGGCUAACUCCGUGCCAGCAGCCGCGGUAAUACGGAGGGUGCAAGCGUUGUUCGGAAUUACUGGGCGUAAAGGGCGUGCAGGCGGGUUGGUAAGUCAGAUGUGAAAGCCCUGGGCUUAACCCAGGAAGUGCAUUUGAAACUGCCAUCCUAGAGUAUGGGAGAGGAGAGUGGAAUUCCCAAUGUAGAGGUGAAAUUCGUAGAUAUUGGGAGGAACACCCGUGGCGAAGGCGACUCUCUGGACCAAUACUGACGCUGA
rnacentral:rRNA from 1 species